rnacentral:rRNA from 1 species
AUGCUCGUCCGUGUCAACACUCUGCUCCAGGGGUACUCCGGCAUCCGCUUUGAGAUCCUCGAGACGGUUGCUGCGCUUCUCAACGCCAACGUGACACCAUGCCUGCCGCUCCGGGGCACGAUCACCGCCUCCGGCGACCUCGUCCCGCUUUCCUAUAUCGCAGGCCUGGUGACUGGUCGGGCAAACUCCGUGGCCACUGCUCCAGAUGGCAGCAAGGUUAACGCUGCGGAGGCGUUCAAGAUCGCCGGCAUCCAGCAUGGCUUCUUUGAGCUGCAGCCCAAGGAGGGGCUUGCCAUGGUGAAUGGCACGGCAGUGGGCUCUGGGCUUGCAUCCAUGGUGCUUUUCGAGGCUAACAUCCUCAGCCUCCUUGCCGAGGUUCUAUCGGCUGUCUUCUGCGAGGUCAUGAACGGCAAGCCGGAGUACACCGACCACUUGACCCACAAGCUGAAGCACCACCCUGGGCAGAUCGAGGCCGCCGCCAUCAUGGAGCACAUCCUUGAAGGAAGCUCCUAUAUGGCACUCGCGAAGAAGCUCGGUGAGCUUGACCCGUUGAUGAAGCCAAAGCAAGAUAGGUAUGCGCUCCGCACAUCGCCGCAGUGGCUUGGCCCCCAGAUUGAGGUAAUCCGUGCUGCAACCAAGUCGAUUGAGAGGGAGAUCAACUCUGUCAACGACAACCCACUCAUCGACGUCUCUCGUGGCAAGGCCAUCCACGGGGGCAACUUCCAGGGUACGCCUAUCGGCGUGUCCAUGGACAACACCAGGCUUGCAAUUGCUGCGAUCGGGAAGCUCAUGUUUGCCCAGUUCUCGGAGCUGGUGAACGACCUCUACAACAACGGUUUGCCUUCCAACCUCUCCGGCGGGCGCAAUCCGAGUUUGGACUAUGGCUUCAAGGGAGCUGAGAUUGCCAUGGCCUCAUACUGCUCUGAGCUCCAGUUCUUAGGCAACCCGGUGACCAACCAUCUCAUGUCCUCCACAUUCAUGGUCGCCUUGUGCCAGGCCAUCGACCUCCGCCAUCUGGAGGAGAAUGUUAAGGAUGCCGUCAAGAGCUGUGUGAAGAUGACGGCCAGGAAGACAUUGAGCACCACCAACAAUGGGCACCUCCACAAUGCGCGAUUCUGCGAGAAGGACCUGCUGCUCACGAUUGACCGUGAGGCGGUGUUCGCGUAUGCAGACGACCCUUGCAGCGCCAACUACCCGCUGAUGCAGAAGAUGCGUGCGGUUCUCGUGGAGCACGCCUUGGCCAAUGGUGAGGCCGAGCACGACAUGGAGACAUCUGUCUUUGCCAAGCUUGCCGCCUUCGAGCAGGAGCUCCGUGCAGUGUUACCAAAGGAGGUUGAGGCUGCCCGGUCCUCCGUGGAGAACGGCACCGCCACACAGCAUAACCGUAUCACCGGAUGCCGGUCAUACCCGCUCUACAGGUUCGUGCGCAAGGAGCUUGGGACUGAGUACUUGACUGGGGAGAAGACACGGUCUCCUGGGGAAGAGGUGGACAAGGUGUUUGUCGCCAUGAACCAGGGCAAGCACAUCGACGCGCUGCUGGAGUGCCUAGAAGAGUGGAACGGUGAGCCCUUGCCUCUCUGCUGA